GAAACGGUCCUUUUCAGGACCAACCCUAUCUUUCCAGAAAUGUUUG
rfam:Lingula anatina scaffold1800, whole genome shotgun sequence.